rnacentral:rRNA from 1 species
AUUGAACGCUGGCGGCAGGCCUAACACAUGCAAGUCGAACGAGUGGCGGACGGGUGAGUAAUGUCUGGGAAACUGCCUGAUGGAGGGGGAUAACUACUGGAAACGGUAGCUAAUACCGCAUACCAUCGGAUGUGCCCAGAUGGGAUUAGCUAGUAGGGGGGGUAACGGCUCACCUAGGCGACGAUCACUAGCUGGUCUGAGAGGAUGACCAGCCACCAGGGGACUGAGACACGGUCCAGACUCCGCAGGGAGGGAGCAGUGGGGAAUAUUGCAACAUGGGGGCAAGCCUGAUGCAGCCAUGCCGCGUGUAUGAAGAAGGCCUUAGGGUUGUAAAGUACUUUCAGCGGGGAGGCGUUACCCGCAGAAGAAGCACCGGCUAACUCCGUGCCAGCCGCCGCGGUAAUAC